UCACAAUCAAAAAAUCGACGCGGGGUCAUGGCAUACGAAUCCAUGUUGAAAAACUACGACUCCCAUAAUGCACUUGUGACAGUAGCCGGAAGCGCUGCAUUCAGAGUCCACGCGCUGUUGUGUUUGAAAACCAUGCUCUUGGAGCAGACAGGGCUUUGCUGCUGUCAUGUACCCGACACCCCUGUACGCUCCGGCUGGCCACGGCGCUUUCACAGACGUGUAUGAACCGGCCGAAGGCUCGUUCCUGCUGAUGGGCGCUCUGGAGAAAGGCGCCGGCGGCUGAAGGGAAGCAGGCCGUCUGUGUGUCUGGAGGUGGGCAGCGGGUCUGGAGUCAUCUCGGCUUUCCCUCGGCGUCUGUGGUCGGGCCUGGAGCGCGCUUGUAUCUGUGAGUAUAGACGGAUCACGUGGGCUCCUCUCAUCUCUGUUUGCACUC